rnacentral:rRNA from 1 species
AGUCGAACGGAGCUUAGAGAGCUUGCUUUUUAAGCUUAGUGGCGAACGGGUGAGUAACGCGUGAGUAACCUGCCCUAGAGUGGGGGACAACAGUUGGAAACGACUGCUAAUACCGCAUAAGCCCACGGUACCGCAUGGCACUGAGGGAAAAGGAUUUAUUCGCUUUAGGAUGGACUCGCGUCCAAUUAGCUAGUUGGUGAGGUAACGGCCCACCAAGGCGACGAUUGGUAGCCGGACUGAGAGGUUGAACGGCCACAUUGGGACUGAGACACGGCCCAGACUCCUACGGGAGGCAGCAGUGGGGGAUAUUGCACAAUGGGGGAAACCCUGAUGCAGCGACGCCGCGUGGAGGAAGAAGGUUUUCGGAUUGUAAACUCCUGUCGUUAGGGACGAUAAUGACGGUACCUAACAAGAAAGCACCGGCUAACUACGUGCCAGCAGCCGCGGUAAAACGUAGGGUGCAAGCGUUGUCCGGAAUUACUGGGUGUAAAGGGAGCGCAGGCGGGAAGACAAGUUGGAAGUGAAAACCAUGGGCUCAACCCAUGAAUUGCUUUCAAAACUGUUUUUCUUGAGUAGUGCAGAGGUAGAUGGAAUUCCCGGUGUAGCGGUGGAAUGCGUAGAUAUCGGGAGGAACACCAGUGGCGAAGGCGGUCUACUGGGCACCAACUGACGCUGAGGCUCGAAAGCAUGGGUAGCAAACAGGAUUAGAUACCCUGGUAGUCCAUGCCGUAAACGAUGAUUACUAGGUGUUGGGGGAUUGACCCCCUCAGUGCCGCAGUUA